GAAAGUGAAGAAAUCGUUUCCUGAUCUUUUUUUUUUUUUUUUUUCCCUUUCUUUCUUAUUAACUUCACGAACGUUCUACAAAUUUUCUUCGCGAUCAAUCGCACUCACAGCGGCGAAGAAGGCAACGGGAAACAUCAAAAGAUUCGUUUUCUUUUGUUUUUGAAUCAAAUCGGGCUGUGAGAUGAGGAAAACCGGAGGAACCGAGAAGAAGAGGGUCAGAAGGCAAUCAACUGCUGUUCAAAAUGCUGCUAUAGAUCCCAAUUCUGAUACCCCUCCUAGGAAACAAGCUGCAAGGAAGGAUUUGUUUCAGUUGUUUGCUGAGAAAGUGAGAGACCACAAGGAUUUAGAGUCAAGAUGGGCUGUUUUACAAGAGACACGUGUCGAGUAUUUCAGAGGCAAAGAUUUUGUUGGUUUUUUGAGAAAUCAUCCAGAGGUCAAGGAUAUUCUCGAUUCAGAUAAGAAUUUGGAAACUGAAGAUAUUGGCAAUGCAUUGCUUAGUAAGAAUCUCUUAGUUCGGUGUGAUCGUGUGGUGAAAACUGUUCGUCCUGGAAAGAGAAAAUUGUCCACAUGGCCAGCGCAUCUGGAGAUAUUCCCGGAUCAGGUGUUCUCCGAACAUGAUGCAUUUUUUGCGUGGACAUUUGUUAAGCGGAGGCCAUUUUGGCAGACACUUCUGUCGUUUUGUUGGCCUGUGUUGACUCUUGCAAUUUGCUUGUUUCCUGUAUAUCCUCAUCAAUGCAAGCUUUUGAUUCUCUACUCAUGCGCUGGGGUUCUGCUUCUUAUACUCUCACUUCUUUUAUUGAGGGCAGCAGUAUUUGGUUUAUCCUAUAUUCUUCUUGGCAAGCGCAUGUGGUUUUUUCCCAAUAUUCUUGCCGAGGAGGCGACCUUGCGAGAACUAUUCCGUUUUUGGCCGAGUAAAGACGAAGAAGAGAAACCGAAAUGGACAACCAGACUUUUCUAUGCAAUGGUGGCUGUACUGAUCAUACUGUUGAUGAGGCAUCAUGCUCCCGAUGAGGCUGCUCGAGCAAGAUACCAAAAGCGUGUUUCGAAUAUCAUUGAUGAUGUUCUCGAAUGGUCUCCAAGACUUGCUCUCUCUGGGAUGAUGGAGAAGCAGCAAACAGUGGUCAAUGCGACAAAGUCGAACCCGGACACAGCAGAGAACCAAACAGAUGACGUUACAAAUCCAGAUUCUAUCCCUGACCAACCUGAGCCUGAAAUUAUCGACAAGUAGAGCAUUCUGAUCGAUAUUAUCACGAAGGUGAUCGUAUACAUCAUUAGAGGUCUGUUCAGUCUUUUGAGGAAGAGAAGAACCAUGGUAAACGUGUUCCUAUAUGAGCUUUGUUUUGUUUUUUUUUUUGUCUAAAAACAGUUGAUUUUUGUUAAUUUUAACCUUUUUUAGGAGUCACAGAAGUUGGUUUAUAUCCAAACUAAAGUGAGCUUUUUUUU